UGGGGAAUAUUGCACAAUGGGGGAAACCCUGAUGCAGCGACGCCGCGUGAACGAAGAAGGUAUUCGUAUCGUAAAGUUCUGUCCUAUGGGAAGAUAAUGACAGUACCAUAGAAGAAAGCCCCGGCUAAAUACGUGCCAGCAGCCGCGGUAAUACGUAUGGAGCGAGCGUUGUCCGGAAUUAUUGGGCGUAAAGGGUACGCAGGCGGUUUAAUAAGUCGAAUGUUAAAGAUCGGGGCUCAACCCCGUAAAGCAUUGGAAACUGGAAAACUUGGGUAGUGGAGAGGAAAGUGGAAUUCCUAGUGUAGUGGUGAAAUACGUAGAUAUUAGGAGGGAAACCAGUAGCGAAGGCGACUUUCUGGACACAAACUGACGCUGAGGUACGAAAGCGUGGGGAGCAAACAGG
rnacentral:rRNA from 1 species